AGUGAACGCUGGCGGUAGGCCUAACACAUGCAAGUCGAACGGCAGCACAGUAAGAGCUUGCUCUUACGGGUUGCGAGUGGCGGACGGGUGAGGAAUACAUCGGAAUCUACUUUUUCGUGGGGGUUAACGUAGGGAAACUUACUCUAAUACCGCAUACGACCUACGGUUGAAAGCAGGGGAUCUUCGGACCUUGCGCGAUUGAAUGCGCCGAUGUCGGAUUAGCUAGUUGGCGGGGUAAAGGCCCACCAAGGCGACGAUCCGUAGCUGGUCUGAGAGGAUGAUCAGCCACACUGGAACUGAGACACGGUCCAGACUCCUGCGGGAGGGAGCAGUCGGGAAUAUUGGACAAUGGGCGCAAGCCUGAUCCAGCCAUACCGCGUGGGUGAAGAAGGCCUUCGGGUUGUAAAGCCCUUCUGUUGGGAAAGAAAAGCAGCAGGUUAAUACCCCGCUGUUCUGACGGUACCCAAAGAAUAAGCACCGGCUAACUUCGUG
rnacentral:rRNA from 1 species